rnacentral:rRNA from 1 species
CAAUAGCGUAUAUUAAAGUUGUUGCAGUUAAAAAGCUCGUAGUUGGAUUUCGGGACGGGCCAGUUGGUCCGCCGCAAGGUGUGUUACUGACUGGUCUGUUCUUCUUCGCAAAGCCUGCGUGUGCUCUUCGUUGAGUGUGCGUAGGAUUUACGACGUUUACUUUGAAAAAAUUAGAGUGUUCAAAGCAGGCUAUCGCUUGAAUACAUGAGCAUGGAAUAAUGGAAUAGGACUUUGGUCCUAUUUUGUUGGUUUCUAGGACCGAAGUAAUGAUUAAGAGGGACAAUUGGGGGCAUCCGUAUUUCGUUGUCAGAGGUGAAAUUCUUGGAUUUACGAAAGACGAACAACUGCGAAAGCACUUGCCAAGAGUGUUUUCAUUAA